UCGUCGGUGAUGAUUUUGUCCUGAAGUUUGCUUGAUUUCAUCUCGAAACAUGAAGGCAACUCUAGUCACUACCUCUUCUGAGACGU
rnacentral:snoRNA from 1 species